GGGGGUGGCCGGGUCCCGGUGGGCCCCGCGGUCUUCAAAACCGUUGGGGGGCAUGAGAAAUGUCCCAGGUGGGUUCGACUCCCAUCCGCUCCCGCCA
rnacentral:tRNA from 1 species